rnacentral:tRNA from 1 species
GGGGUGGUGGCGCAGUUGGCUAGCGCGUAGGUCUCAUAACUUCUAAGUGAUCCUGAGGUCGAGAGUUCGAGCCUCUCUCUCCCCA